CCUACGGGUGGCAGCGGUGGGGAAUAUUGGACAAUGGGGGCAACCCUGAUCCAGCCAUGCCGCGUGUGUGAAGAAGGCCCUCGGGUUGUAAAGCACUUUCAGUGAGGAAGAACGCCUGGUGGUUAAUACCCAUCAGGAAAGACAUCACUCACAGAAGAAGCACCGGCUAACUCCGUGCCAGCAGCCGCGGUAAUACGGAGGGUGCGAGCGUUAAUCGGAAUUACUGGGCGUAAAGCGCGCGUAGGUGGCUUGAUAAGCCGGUUGUGAAAGCCCCGGGCUCAACCUGGGAACGGCAUCCGGAACUGUCAAGCUAGAGUGCAGGAGAGGAAGGUAGAAUUCCCGGUGUAGCGGUGAAAUGCGUAGAGAUCGGGAGGAAUACCAGUGGCGAAGGCGGCCUUCUGGACUGACACUGACACUGAGGUGCGAAAGCGUGGGUAGCAAACAGGAUUAGAUACCCGAGUAGUC
rnacentral:rRNA from 1 species